ensembl:lncRNA
GAUGAAGGUCUCUACCACUGUAAAAUCCCAGAGAAAGGAGAGUCUCCACAGAGCUGGAUCUCAGUCAGAGAUUCACCUAAUAUUCUACCAGUAGUAUUGGCGCUGGGACUGAGUUUAACCCUGUUCCUCAUCAUCAUGCUCUGCGUGUUUUGUUGCUACAAGAAGAAGAAGAAAGGAAAUCAGAAAGAUGCCAGUGUGUCUUCAGUCCAGAAUCAGAAUCCAGGAGCUAUUCCACUGCAGGCUGGAAAUGAUCACAUUUAUGACGAUGUGGGUGCAAAGGAAAAUAAUAACACAGGUUGGGGUUACUUUAGUAUCUCAAAUUAUUUUCAAAUAUGUUUUAAAUAAAAUGCUUAAUCUUGUGUUGUGUAAGGUCACAAUGUCUGGUCUCAUGUCUGUAACUGUGGAUCUGAUUCUAGAGGAUACUGAAGCUAACACCAGUGAAAUAACUUAUGCCCAAGUGAAGUUUUCAAAAAAGAAACUCAAAGGGAAAGACAAGGAAGCGACUGAGCCAAGUGAUGUGACUUAUUCCCUCAUUCAGAUGAAAACCUUGACACCUUGCAGUGAAGAUGAAGCCAUUCCUGGGCCAAGUGAUGCCAAUCCUGGGCCAAGUGAUGCCAAUCCUGGGCCAAGUGAUGUCGUUUACUCACAAAUUCAGAUAAAACCCAAGAAACCCAAAGGCAAAGAUGUUAAAGCUGAACCCAGUGAUGUGACUUAUGCUGAAAUAGAUCUGAAGGACAAGAAGAACCUAAAGGAAAAUGAGAACAAGCUGCAAAAGGAUGCUGAUGCUGGACCUAGUGAUGUGACUUAUGCUGAAAUUGAUCUGAAGGACAAGAAGAAACCAAAGAAAAAACCUCCUGUUCCUCCCAAGGGGAAAGGCUGUGCAGCAAGUAAUACAGUCUACUCUGAACUGAAACAGAACCUACAGAGACCCUAAAUCUUCAGCACGGAUUUGAAACUCAAACGGAAACAGUGCCAUGAGUGACCAAGGUCUUCUAAACUGUGAGAAUAUUAAGAACAGUACUGUGCAUUUUUUAGGCACCUGUGAGACUUGUAAAAAAGAAUGUAAAAGCUCUUUUUCUGGGCAGAAAGUGUUUAUUACUCUUUCAUAUAAAUAAUAUCAAUACAAAAAUAUGUGUAAUUUUACAUCACUUUGUUCAUUAAAACAUCUCCAUUGUUCUCCUCAUUGGAGUGUAGUAUAUAUUUUUUUUGUAGAUCUCAUUGUAUAAGCAGCUGGUUUGGUAAAUAAGUGCUUAAUAAUGGUAAAUCAGGUGAGCUGCUGAUGGAAUUGAACAAAUCCACUGGGGCACAGUCCAGGAGAAGCCUGGAUCUAAGACUUGUUCUUCAGACUAGCUCUCAAGAUCCCAACUACUUUCUUCAAAAUGUGAAAUGUUUUAGCUACAUCUGUUCUAAUGGGAUCUGCAGUUUUUACAGCAAACUUAAUCUUAUUUCUGAGAUAAUUGAUUUAUAACAAUGAGCUUACGUGCCUAAAACAUAUGCACAGUACUGGUUGUUGUAGAGGUUUGGUGGGAAGGCUGCACAGAAAAAAUGGUAUUGCAAUAUUAGGUUGUUCUGUAAUAUUUAUUGCAGUGUAAAAAAAUACAGAAAAUUUAAGCUGAUUGUUCCAGAAGUCAAAGAUCCAAUGUCUAGAUUUUAAUAAUGUCCUACAUGUAUUAAAGAUUUAAGUAAAAAUAAUAUUGGACAGAGAUAAUCUGAGAAAAAUAAGAUAUUGGAACAUGAUGUGUAUAAUUUAAUCAUUUUAUCUUGCACUGUGACAUUGCAUUAGUGAUACUGAAAUUAUAUAUACAGGGGUUAGACAAUGAAACUGAAACACCUGGUUUUAGACCACAAUAAUUUAUUGUCCUGACGGACAGAUCUGGUGGAAACAGGAGAGUUGAGGUGCAGACAGCUUCCUCUUGCAUCCACAGUUAAUCCUG